GACGAACGCUGGCGGCGUGCUUAACACAUGCAAGUCGAACGGAAAGGCCUGCUUUCCCUUGUGGAUUGCGGGUACUCGAGUGGCGAACGGGUGAGUAACACGUGAGUGAUCUGCCCCCAACUUGGGUAUAAGCCUGGGAAACUGGGUCUAAUUCCCGAUAGGACUGCAGGGUGGUGCCUGUGGUGGAAAACGAUUUUCUAGUGGUUGGGGAUGAGCUCGCGGCCUAUCAGCUUGUUGGUGGGGUAAUGGCCUACCAAGGCGGCGACGGGUAGCCGGCCUGAGAGGGUGGACGGCCACAUUGGGACUGAGAUACGGCCCAGACUCCUACGGGAGGCAGCAGUGGGGAAUAUUGCACAAUGGGCGGAAGCCUGAUGCAGCGACGCCGCGUGGGGGAUGACGGCCUUCGGGUUGUAAACUCCUUUCGAUCGCGAGGAAGCCACCUGGUUGGAAGGGUGGUGACGGUAGUGGUAGAAGAAGCACCGGCUAACUACGUG
rnacentral:rRNA from 1 species